AAAUCCAGCACAGAAUUGCUGCAAAAGCAGGGAUGAUUAUACAGAGAGUAGUGCUGAAUUCACGCCCUGGUAAGAAUGGAGUGCCAGUGGCUGAAAAUUUCCGACUGGAACAAAGUGCAAUAGCAGAUACAAUCCAAGCAGGACAAGUGCGUGUCAGAACCCUUUAUCUCUCUGUGGACCCUUACAUGCGCUGUCGAAUGAAUGAGGAUACUGGCUCGGAUUACCUCCUGCCCUGGCAGCUGUCUGAAGUUGCUGAUGGGGGGGGCAUUGGGAUUGUGGAGGAGAGCAAGCACGAUAACCUUGCUAGAGGAGACUUUGUCAUUUCCUUCAGUUGGCCCUGGCAGACAGUGGCAAUUCUAGAUGGAAGCUUGCUACAAAAGCUUGUUCCACAACUUGUAAAUGGACACCUUUCCUACUUUCUCGGUGCAGCUGGCAUCACAGGACUGACGGCCCUGUUAGGUAUAAAGGAGAAAGGACAUGUGGCUGUGGGUGCAAAUCAGACAAUGGUGGUGAGCGGAGCAGCUGGUGCCUGUGGCUCUUUGGCUGGCCAGAUUGGCCGUUUGGAGGGCUGUUCUAGAGUGGUGGGGAUUGCUGGCACAGAUGAGAAGUGCUCCAUUUUGGUCCAAGAAAUGGGAUUUGAUGCUGCUAUCAAUUACAAGAAGGGGGAUGUGGCAGAGCAGCUACGUAAACUCUGCCCAGGCGGUGUGGAUGUUUAUUUUGACAAUGUUGGUGGAGACAUCAGCGAUACAGUUAUAAGUCAGAUGAAUCGGAACAGCCAUAUCAUCCUGUGUGGACAGAUUUCUCAGUAUAAUAAAGAUGUGCCUUAUCCUCCUCCACUGCCUCCUGACAUAGAAAAAAUACGGAAAGAAAGGAAUAUCACAAGGGAGAGAUUCCUGGUGUUGAACUACAUGGACAAACAGGAAGCUAGUGUAUUACAACUCUGUCAGUGGAUCCAAGAGGGUAAACUGAAGGUCAGAGAGACCAUGGUAGAAGGCUUGGAAAAUGUUGGUGCCGCUUUCCAGUCCAUGAUGAAUGGAGGCAAUAUUGGAAAACAGAUCGUCUUAGUUUCUAAGUAAAAGUCAUUGCUUCAAGAAAAAGAAUUGGAUUCUAUCUCUAAUAAUAAUUGCAAUGAAAAAUUCAAUUUCUGGAGUUCAAGGUCUCUAAUAACAAAGCUAUUUCCAUUUUUGCCAUUUGGAACAAUUCUCCACCGAUCUGCCUUGUCCAUUUCUCUGUAUUGCAUUAUUACAUCUCUUAUUUUCAGAGCACUUGAAACCUAAUUCAUUUACAGUUCCAUCUGCACGCAUCCUGAGACUUUCAUCAGAGAUAGGUUAGGUGUAGGGUGAACCUUAUGUACCCUUCUCAAAUCUUUGCAUUCCAGACUUAAGUGAAGUUUUCUUCUUAGAAUUCCUUUUCUAAAAUCUACUGUAUCUUAUUCUUAUGAUAAUCUCCCCGAUUUCACUAGUUUUUCUGGUUUUUACACCUCUCCAGGGUGACAGACAGAAUCUCAAAACAGGAUGCCUGAUGACAGAAGCCUGCUUGGAAGGAAGUGUAUCAUAGGGUAGUAUCCAAAGCAAGCUAAUGAAAUACCUGUAUAUUUCAAAAGUGGCUUCAGCUAUGAACUGUGGUGAGUUUGUGCUGUAUGAAUGUAAGAAAGCAAUUGUAAUGAUAAUCACUGCUGAAAAGGUGUUAAAAUGUUUUCCUUUCAUAUGUUAUCGGUAGAGGCCUCUCUGAUAUAUUUGUGUUUCCAGAGUUGCAUUUGUUUGUCCAGAGCACAUAUUCUGUACUUUUGAACACUGUUUGCUGAAGAGCUACUCCAGAGAGAGCUCAUCUUUGGCACUGUGAGUUGAUACACCUUGCAGGAACGACAGUCCUCUAGGAAGUUAUUUUUCACAUCUGAAAUAAAAUGAUAAAAUUCCCAGCACUAUUACAGCAAUUGCUUAGUAAUCCACACGUCAUAAGCCCAUUAAGAGUUGAUGAUGUGAGGCAUGAUCCAGAGUGAGAUCAUGCUGAGAUACUGAUUCUUUACUGUAAUAAAGGCAGCUGGAUUGCAGCAGCAUUCCUGUAGUUAGGUAAGAUAUGGAGGGCAAUAUAGGUUCUAUCAGCAUUAGUCAGAUGGCUUUGGGAAAAAAAAAAAAGAUGGGGACAGUCAAAGUAAACCUCAUCCUGGUACCCCCAAUGUUUAGGAUUCUCACAGAAGCGCUUCUUAACUUGUGAAUCCUGGCUCAUGUUACCUCUUAAGAAUAAAUAAAAAUCAGAAAGAAAAUGCUUUAAACAAGUGCCCACAGUUGUAAAAAAUAUUAAUACAUUUUUUCACCUUGUCUUUAAAUUCUUACCGAUUGUAAUAGCGUGACUUCAGCAAUCCUAUAUUUUGCACUAUAGGAGAGGUCUCAUUUAAACAAAGGAUGACAAAUAACUGAUAAGAAAAAGCCAGGAUGCUUUGGACGUAGUAGAUGAUCAGUUACUGGCUGCAGAAGCACCAGCGUUUGUCCCAUGAAGCUUUACCUUACAAAGAUGGUGAGUGAUAGUUUAUAAGACCUUAAGCAAGGACAAACAGGAAUUCAGAGGAGUUGUGUGACCACAGUAAGGUAUUAGAAGUUCAGCUAUACUUUUUUUAUAAUCUUUAUAAGUAAGCAUUUAUUGUUGUAAAGGGUAAUAAAACUUUUCCUCCCUU